rnacentral:lncRNA from 1 species
ACAGAGAAUUUGGAUUUUUCUUCUUCGUGGAGUUUUGGGAAGACUGAGGCAAUCGCUGCUGAAGUCAGUGUUGUAAUGGUGAAUCGGGAUUUUUAAAUGAAGUGGGUUUGAAUACUCUUGACUGUUUUGUGAAAUCGAGUUAUGUCUGUGAUUGAAGGAUUAAAAGGGUGUCUAUAGGAUUGAGUAUGCGGAGUGAAUGAAAUUUAUUGGGUUAAUCUAACAAGACAGUCAGUGGAUACAAGAUCGUAAGUACAAAGCAGUAUUGAAGGUU